rnacentral:rRNA from 1 species
AGACGCUGGCGGCAGGCCUACACAUGCAAGUCGAACGGUAACAUUUCUAGCUUGCUAGAAGAUGACGAGUGGCGGACGGGUGAGUAAUGCUUGGGAACUUGCCUUUGCGAGGGGGAUAACAGUUGGAAACGACUGCUAAUACCGCAUAAUGUCUACGGACCAAACGGGGCUUAGGCUCCGGCGCAAAGAGAGGCCCAAGUGAGGAUUAGCUAGUUGGUAAGGUAACGGCUUACCAAGGCGACGAUCUCUAGCUGUUCUGAGAGGAAGAUCAGCCACACUGGGACUGAGACACGGCUCCAGACUCCUACGGGAGGCAUCAGUGNGGGAAUAUUGCACAAUGGGGGGGAAAACCCUGGAUGCACCCAUGCC